AGUGGCCUUCUGGAAGCAGAGCUGACCAAAGCUAUAAAAGGUCUUCUGCCUGAAAGAAGAGAGUCAAGCACCUCUUCUCUAGGCUGGACAUUGCAGCUGCUGAUGCAUGGUCCAUCUCUGCUAAGAACUCAGGCUCUGUGCGUCAAGAACUGGAGGGAGCAAGAUGAAGCCCAGCGUUAGGACAAAGUUACUUGGAUUUUACUUUCUCCUUAGCUUAACUACCACUACUUAGAGUUCCAGGCUGAGUUUGGAGGACAAGUAGUCUGGGAAAAAGCAAUGAAUUCCUUUUAACUUUUAACAAGGCAGCCUUAACCAAAAGCAUGAACCUUUCCACUUCAUUCAUCUCAGUGAAGUGCCAGCUUCGCACUCCUUGGUUUCACUCAAUGUCAGUGCCACUUGCUUUAUUGCUGAGUGUUUUAUCUGGAGGUUUGGAAGGGGUAUGCUGAGAUGUGCAGGGAAAUAAAAGCACAGGAAAGAAGAACAAUGAUACAGAAAGGAAGAAGGCAUCAGAUGUCUUCUGCAUAUGGGUGACGAGUCCCUCUGGUGACUGCAGAAGAAAUGGGAGCUGGAGCUUUGUUUGUCUCACCCAUCACAACGCCCAACCCCAGAGGGCAGCCACUUCUGUUGCACUGAUGCCAAAGGCAGAAAUCUUUCCCCAGAGCCAUCCGAGAUUGUCCCUCCUGCAGAGCAGGCUGGUUGCCUCUCAUCCUUCUUCCUUGUCCCACUCUUUCUGCUGUAGUAGUCUGAGCCAUCAUGGAUACCAGUGCAAGUGAGUAUGUUUAAAUAGCCUGAGUGCUGUUAAUUGGAGACGCUGGCAUUGGUAUUGACACCCCAGUGGCUUCAUGGAGACUCAGGUCUUCCCCUGUCUGUCCUGUAUCCAAAGAGCUCCAGUCUGCAUUUGGCCUUGUCUCCAUCACAGUGGCCUCUUC